rnacentral:rRNA from 1 species
UACAGAGGUCUCAAGCGUUGUUCGGAUUCAUUGGGCGUAAAGGGUGUGUAGGUGGCGCGCUAAGUCGGGUGUGAAAUUUCGGAGCUUAACUCCGAAACUGCAUUCGAUACUGGCGUGCUUGAGGACUGGAGAGGAGACUGGAAUUCAUGGUGUAGCAGUGAAAUGCGUAGAGAUCAUGAGGAAGACCAGUGGCGAAGGCGGG